GGGCUCCCUGUCCCCGGUCUGAGCCCUCCCCGCCCUGGGGACCCUGGCUUGGCGCCAGGGCAGGGCAGCGCCGGUCCUCGCCACAGUCUUGCCCCUCGGGAUGGCCCGUGCGAAGAGUCUGGGCGAGCAACCGAGAGGAACGGAGCAAAACGUUUUGUUAAAUAGAAGGAGCAAUGAGAAUGAGCGGUUACAUUGAUCGACUCAUCUGUGCUGUGCCACGGAAGGCAGAUCUGAAAAGUGAUGUUUGGAGGGUCUCUCUGGCAGGUCGACUCCUGUUUCACCCUGCAGCACUGUCAGCCCACAUUCCACCAGGGAGUUUGGCACACUCAGUUCUGAAGUGCUUGCACAGGCACUUGAAGGAGGCAGAGGACAUAAAGAAGAGGAAAUGCCAGCAACCAUGCUGUCAGCUUUGCAAGAGACUGAGACACAUCAUCAGCCUAAGAAGAACAUCUCAGAGAAGCACAGAGAUGGAUCAAAAUGGGUGCAAUUCCACAUUUCUCCCUUUUGAGAGGCACUGAGUCCUGGCAGCCCAAAGAACUGAGUUAUGAACUGAGAUUAAAGGCACAAGGCUGGAAGCAAGCAAGUAAUGUGACUGCAGGGUUUGGAGACACAUGCUGAAACACAGAAAUGGACAGAGAAAUAUUCUAAGGUAAACCCCUUCUGAUCCUGAAGUAAAGGUACAGUGCUAAUUGAGCAUAACUGUCAUGAACUAGGAGAACAUGGAAGUCUGUCACUUUGUUUUGCUGACUUCCUCAAUGCUGGUGUCAUCACUCUGGAAGCCUGGUUAAAGUUUCCCAGGAGGAAACAAAAUGAGAACAAAGACAAAUUUCUAAACUGAUUAUGCACCCAGAGCUGUACACUUUACAAAUGAGCUUUUCCUGGUGAGAGACCUAGUAAAAUACACACUUAAGAUUUUUUUCUUACCCACUCUUCCCACCAUUAUUUGUAUAUUGAUGAUAUCAUGGGUAAAAAUGUUGGGGCUGGCCAAAUAUUCAGUAUUGGAUGGAAUGCUGCUUUCCCUCUGCAUCACAUUUUGGUAGCAGUUUGAAGUCCACAAUCACACUGUGCCAUAACAACAAAUGCUUCAAGGAUGACAUUUUCGAAAGUACUUUUCCUCCAAGAAUUUCUGAGUGCUUUUCAACAUGAAUUACCAGCCCAUCUCCUGGUGAUAAGUAGGUGUUAUUUCCAUCUUCAAACUGAAAAACUUUAACUGCUGCCUAAAGUAACUGUGAAUCAUCUACUUCUUAGGGCUUUCUUUUUCUUGUUUUCCAUGUUCUUUCCCUUUGUUUCCUGGGCCAUUCUUAGCCCCAAUUUCCUCUCCUCUCUGUCUAUAAUAAUCCCCUCGAUGCAACCUGAUAUUGUACCCGAAUUUUAAAACUCUUCCUGCCAUGCAACUUGGGCAUGAGUGUGCUGUGCAUAAGUGCUCUCCUGAUUCAGGUAGUAGCAUCAAUAGAGCCUUUCAACGAGCUGUAUUUAUGUAGAUAGCUUUAAAUUGUUAUUUCCAUCCUGCAUGUCCACGUGCAUGUGUGGGUGGGGAAAAUUAGUCUGCAGAUAAGUUAAAGAGCACAGGUGUCUCGGUGCCUCUGAUGUGGAGCACUGAACUGGAGAGAGGCAGUUUUGCAAAGAUUCUAAGCACUUACUGCUCCCCCUGCCUGGAAACUUCAGACCACUUGGCUGAAUCAGAGCUCACUCUACCUGAUGCUUAGUAGGGAGGGCACUGGGCAGCAUAUUGGCUGGUGUCUGUUUUCGGUGUGCUUUCCUCCUGGCCUUAGUUUCUGUUUCUUAGCAUUAACCUUUUCAUUGUUUUUGUAUUGGAAAUAGAAAGCUGGAAAACUGUUUCUACUGUAUACUCCUCUGUAACGAAAAGAGAAACUCAGGGGAGGUUUUUCAUCAUCUUUUCCUAACCUGUAUAAAUUCACUUUUUUUGCCACUUCUAUCAAAAAAAUCAACAAUCUCCCUCUGUAUCUGUCUCAGAGCACUUUUUCAAAAGAUGUUUACUAUGUGGCUAAGAAAUUGAUUUGGCUGGAGUCCAUAUUUUAGGGCAUCUGUCUCCCAAGAGAAAUACAGGCUGGAGAGUUUCCUGCUCUGUAUUUUAGCAUUGUUCUACGAUCCAGAAAGAAGGGGAUAUAUCCCAGCAGUCAGUGUAUUAUCCUAAGGCACCUGUGUCUGGGGUUGCUUCUCUAUUCCCCCUCAGGCUACGUCUGAGUGGCUCUAUGGAAGAGGCUGUGCACGCCUGUACUGCCAAGUAGCUGGAAAGAAGCAAUACCCCAUGGCAGCACUGAGCUCGAGGGAUGCUAGUUCACCUUUCUCACUUAGGAAUGUGUCCCCAGAAUCCUCUGCAGACUCCAGUGCAGGUACACCUGCCAGGCGAUGUUGGGCUCCUGCCUGUGGUGGUGUGUUUUUGUUAAGUUAUUGUUAAGCUAUUCCCCCAAUAGUUUAUCCCUAUUAUUCCCCCAAUAUGUUUGGGUUUACCCCAAGUUUCCCCUCCCUUGCCCAGCUGUCAUUCAUCCCCUAGAUCCACCUGCUACCUCAUUUACAUGACAUCAAUCCUUCCUAAUCCCUUCCCUUAUUUCCAGAGGGUUCUCUGUCGGUCCUAAACUCCACCUGGGAACUGCCCUUUUUCUCCGUGCCCCUUGGCCCUUGUGACCCUUUCCACACCCCUUGCCUUCCCUAUAGGUUGUCAGAUCGUGAGUCCCUCCUUACUCCCCUCGCCGUUGUAUCCCUGAUUGGCCGAAGAGUCGUAUCCUCCCCCUGUUCCUCCCCUGUUUAAAAGACUCUGCAAGUGCGGCCUUGUAGGUUUUUUUGCUGCUGCGCUCCUAGGGGCAUUAAAUCCUUCGAGGAGCACACAAGAGCCUGUUCUGUACUCUGAUCCACGGCGCAUCACAAGCAGCAGCCGCAGGGAGCAGCCCCGGUGCUGUGGUAUCGGCAGUUCUGCUCCAGCACCACCCGAGCCCCAUUCAGCAUGGGAGCGGCCAGUCUCAGCCCAGGUGCCAGGGAGGUGCCAGCUGGGCAUCUCCGGCCUUUGUGCCACCGACCGCAGGCACGGCUCUUGUACUCACUCACGUGAAGAGCUCAGGCAUUACCUGUGCGAGAACUCAGAUAUACCUGUGUGUCGCUAGUGGACACGAGUAAAUACUCCCAGAUUUGACUUCACAAGAUGGAAGCAGAAGAAAAACUGUUAUUUACAAAGACCUCACUUUUAUAGGUUUUGAAGAAUGACCAGGGAUUGGAGAACAAGGCUACCACCUCUCCAUCCCAUUGGCCAGGCUAGAAGUCCACCAGUUGACUAUCAUCAGAAAGGAAUGUGGAAAACAAGAUGUUUACAUCAGGAAGCUGUAGGAAAAUUCAGUCAGAGCUGUAAACAUCUCACAGAAGCUCACAUAAUAUGGCAACACCUGUGGGAGAACACAGAUGUUAGCCAUUGAAGAGCUAGAAAGUCUGUAGGAGACCGAUACUUGGAAAGUGAUACAUGCCCAUAUCUUAAGCUUGGAGCAAAAAUUAAUAGUGAUGAAUCCCUACAGAAGUAAACUGCCAGGGGUCAAUACCCAGGGUAAGCUUGACCAAAAUGCUCUCUUCUAAUGUAAGUCAUGCUGCCGGUGUUGGAGGGGAAAGGAGAAGAAAGAGAGGGAGAGGAAACUGCUUUAUAACCUUUUUUUUUUUUUUUUUUUACGUUUGUGUAUUUAAAUAUUAAACUUGAGCAUUUAUUAAGGAAAAUAAAAAACAAAGGAAAGAGGUACUAUGGAACAGAAGAUGGAAAUUAAAUGAGGUUCAUAUAUCAUUUGACAGAGCCAUUUCUAAGACGAAAUACACUAUUUGCUCCCCAUCACCACAGUUGUCCAAUUGAAACAGCAGGGGAAUUCAUACUAUAUUAGGUGAAUAUGAUGUUUUGUAGUACAGUUUGGGAUUUCAGUGAAGAAA